rnacentral:lncRNA from 1 species
AGAGAGAAAAUAAAAUAGUAAAAAUGGCUUAGAUUGAAGCGAGAAAUGAGAUAUGUCUAUUUUUUUCUUGAUCAGUAAAUUUUAUUUUAUUCGUAUUUUUUAUUUUUUAUUUUUUAUGAUUGUGCUAAUAUUUUGUUGAGUAGACGGAUUUAUGAUAAAAAUUUAAUUUAACGUUUUCGUCGCAAAAUUCCAAUACAGAUAGUAGAGCAACUAAGCGAGUACCCAAUUCCCAACAUAUUUCUGGUGAACAGAA